UACAUGUGGGGCAAGCGUUGUUCGGAAUUACUGGGCAUAAAGGGUGCGUAGGUGGCUUGUUAAGUCAGGGGUGAAAGUUUUCGGCCCAACCGGAAAAUGGCCUUUGAUACUGGCGAGCUCGAGUGCGUGAGGGGUAACCGGAACGAGCAGUGUAGCGGUGAAAUGCGUAGAGAUCGGGAGGAACAUCUGUGGCGAAGGCGGCCACCUGGACCAACACUGACACUGAGGCACGAAAGCGUGGGGAGCAAACAGG
rnacentral:rRNA from 1 species